rnacentral:lncRNA from 1 species
AGCUUUUUAAGUCUGUGAACUUCUUACAAGGUUCCAACACACUCACUGGGACUGGCUUGUUAAGUGAAUGAAUUAACAGCAAAAUCCAUCUCAAGUUACCCUUUGUUUUGUUUUGUUUUUUCUAUAAUAUGUACCGUGCACUGGCAAGGACAUUUAAAAGAUAGCAAUGAAAAAAUACAUAGUUAAUGGUCAUAGACUUUAUUCCAAAAUAUAAUUGAAAAGCAGAAAUUAAACCUUUGUUAAUUGGUGAACAAGAUUUUUGUAAUUUUUAUAAUUACAAAAUUUGAAUUAUAAGAAUUUUGUAAUUCUGCCAAUUAAAUGUAAUUGGCAAAAUUAAAGAUUUUCACAGCAACUACUGAACGUAACAAGAGCUUUCAGCGGUGCUGUUGGCUUUCGGUUGACAUUAAGAUACACAUGAAUAUUCCCGACAAAUGUCUUGGAAUUCAUAAAAAAUAUCCCAGUUUUAAUAUACAGAUUUUGCCACAGUAUUGUGAGUGGAAAAAUCGUCAUACUAAAUUAUUUUCUUCCUAUUUGGUGAAAGUUAACAAAGUUCAGUUUAAAAGGCUGUUAGGAAUGUUUUAUAUGCACCAUAAAUAAAACAGGUAAUUUAAUUUGAGCUCAUUUAUCAUAAUAAUGAGCUGACAAUUGUCCAUGACUUGUUUAAGUACAUGAGAUAACAUUUCAGGAAUGAAAGAGAAGGAAUACUGCUUUCUAAGAAAGAAGAGCUUAUAAGAGACAUAUUUAGUAGGUUAAACUACUUCUUUGAAAAAGUUUUGGCUCCAAAUCAGUAAUGAAGAUGAGAUUUUUCUCUUCUCUGGUUGGUCUUUAAGGAUAUUAUGCAGCUCCUUUAGCAAACAGUUGGAAUGUUUGAUACAGCCAGCUAGAUGUGGUAAUUUCACAGUAAAUUGGGAAUUGCUCUGCCUCAGAACCGUUUUUUUAAAGUAAUUACUCUUAAGAGAUACAGAAACAGUAAAUUAAAAUUAAAAUUUUUUUUUGCUAGGUCCAAAGCUCCAUCUGGUUUUCAUAAACGUAAGCAAAAGGUAUUUCUUGUAAUCUUUCAGUCAAAGGGUUGGGGAGUGCCAGGGGAGGAGGGGAAAUCUGGAUUUAUCAGUAUUUGUUUUGCUUUUUACAAAAUGUAUGUCUAAUAUAUAAGUUUUUAAAAGCCACUAGAAAUAGAAAUGUGCUGACAUCAAUCAAAAUCUAAAUUUUUCAUAUUUUGUGGUGAUUAUAGAAGAAAAAGUAGGAAUGUCAUACUAUCAAAUAUACUGUACUCAUUUAUAUUGAAUAUAUAUUAAAAUAUGCAUGAUAGAACAUUCUACUUUGGAGUAUAUAAUUUGUUAAAUUAAUAAUCACAUGGUGACUUUUAUGUAUAAUUUCAUAUAUGGUAAAAUUAAAAACUGCUUUUCACUUCAGAAUUUUUUUAUCUUAAGUUUGGAAUAGUUGAGGGGACUGAUUGAAUAGAAAAUGGGCCCAAACAUUAAACAGAUUUAUUUUCUCAUUCAGAGGCCUUGAUUGGUAUUUUGUAAACAAGUAAUAAAUUUUAUUUUUAAACUUUUCUAUUGGUUUUUGGGAAAGUAUCCUUUAAUUUGAUGGCACAUUCAUAGAGUUUUUAUCCCAAGUCAGAAUUAAAAUUAGCUACACAAUUGAAAUUAAGUCUGAGGCAAUUUGUUGGGGCAGCUCUAUUAUAAAAAUUACUUGACAAAUAAUUAUUUUUAUAAACAAAUAGGUUGAAUUAAUUUAUUCUUGGUCUUCUUACUUGGAUAUUAUUUUAAGAACUUGGUGUUUAAAAACAUGUACUUUAUUAUAUAGCAACAGUGUUCUAUCCCAUACUUUUUUUUUUAAAGUAAAACCCUUAAAUUUAUGUCUGAGACUAUGUACUGCUAGGAACAUAUUUUAUCAAUAAAGAUGAGUAAUUAAAAUUGGUAUGGUCUCCAAGUUAAUUUGGAAACAAUACUUACAUUUAUUCUUACUUGUAGGUAUUUUUUUUAAGGCUGUUUGUUUAUCCUUCAGUUCAGUUCAGUCGCUCAGUCGAGUCCAGUUCUUUGCGACCCCAUGAAUCGCAGCACGCCAGGCCUCCCUGUC